AGUCAAGAGCGGAUGCAGGCUGUUGAUGUUUUUCAUUCAAAGCUCGCAAUGCACCGUUCUGAAAACUCUCCAGCGUAGAAUUCAGGAACCCUGAGUUUUCUAUCUCUGUCUAGUUCUGGACUGAAUGGGCUCAAGUCAUCUAGUUAACCUCUCUGGAUUUCAGUCUUCUGAAAAGUGAAGCUAAGAGAUCUAGCAUUCUGCAGAAAAGUACUGGAGAUGACUCAGGACUGAAAAUGAUCAUGAAGCCCCUUUGCAAAUAUCAAAGUGGUGAUGAAGCAGUCAUGAACUUUGACCAGAAGCCGUGUUUUGUGGGAUUGCCACUUUAAUCGCUCCUGUUCAUCAUUAGGACUGCAGCCAGAGUGUGGAAGGAGGGACUCCAAAUAUAUAAGAAGAUGCUACCACACCCUGGGAGAUUGGAUUCCCCACUGCGCUGGCUUUCUCAAGCUCUGUGAAAUGUGAUGUUGGCUGGAACUUAUCAUGAAGAGCUUUGCUGUAAAACAGAUCUGGGUGACAGCACAGAGGAAGAGAUGGUCCAAGACCAAAGAGGAAAGAAAUGGCAUAAGAUGGGACAGUGUUCUAUGAUCUCUAACUGGCCAAAGAAAAAUGAGAAACAAAUUUAAAAGAAGACAGUUGGAUGACUUAAACACCACCCCUGAGAGGCAGCUGUUUCCAGAAUAUUGCACAAUUUAUUGAGUUCAUGAGAAUCGUGAUCGUUGGCAGCACCGAACUUCACGGAGGGAAUCAUAGGCACUUUAAUUCCAAUUUGUUGACUUAUGGAGGAAGAAAUUUCUCCCAGUGGUGUCCCUUCAUCCAGGAACAAGAGCCAUCAAAGUGUCACAGACUUAGAGCCGGAAGGGCUCUCCGCUAGUGUUUCUGCCAGUCCUCUUGGUUUUACACAUGAGGAAACUGAGGCCCAGAGAAGUUACCCAGUAGCAGAUCUGCAAGUCACCCAGUAGCAGAUCUGCAAGGAGCUCUUAGCAAUCCUGACUCCAAGUGUAAUGCUCUUGCAUUAGCUCUGUGCUGCCUCCUAGAUGUUGGUCUUCUUAAUGUUGAUAGCACAUUUGCUCAAAUGUUUGCUAAUAUGGUUUGGCUGUGUCCUCACCCAAAUCUCAUCUUGAAUUGUAGUUCCCAUAAUCCCCACUUGUCGUGGCAG
rnacentral:lncRNA from 1 species